rnacentral:rRNA from 1 species
AGCGAACGCUGGCGGCAGGCCUAACACAUGCAAGUCGAACGGACCCUUCGGGGUUAGUGGCGGACGGGUGAGUAACACGUGGGAACGUGCCUUUAGGUUCGGAAUAGCUCCUGGAAACGGGUGGUAAUGCCGAAUGUGCCCUUCGGGGGAAAGAUUUAUCGCCUUUAGGGCGGCCCGCGUCUGAUUAGCUAGUUGGUGAGGUAAUGGCUCACCAAGGCGACGAUCAGUAGCUGGUCUGCGAGGAUGACCAGCCACACUGGGACUGAGACACGGCACAGACUCCUACGGGAGGCAGCAGUGGGGAAUCUUGCGCAAUGGGCGAAAGCCUGAGGCAGCCAUGCCGCGUGAAUGAUUAAGGUCUUAGGAUUGUAAAAUUCUUUCACCGGGGACGAUAAUGACGGUACCCGGAGAAGAAGCCCCGGCUAACUUCGUGCCAGCAGCCGCCGUAA